GACGAACCCUUGGCUGACGUCUUCCUCAUGCGCUUCCCACCAGAACCCUCGGGCUUCUGCCGGGGCAAAUACCGUGGCUGACCGGUGCCUAUCGCUUAAAUAACCUGCCCUCCAGCGCGGGACAAAUCACAGCAAACCGUGGCUAAUACACUGCACGUACUUCUGGACCCCCCAUGGGGACCAAAUGAAAUCUUGGAGUUACCCACGCGCCUUUGGAUGGGUCUGCGUUGGAUUAUCCUUGCUUCGGUGAGGCAACUAGCUCACCAUAGCGACCAUCCAUACCUGGUCUGACACGACGAUCUACCGCCCUGGAUACAUGAUACACUGCCCACCACUCCUACUGGAGGCAGCAGCUGGGGAAUCUUGCACAAUGGGGUCACCCCUGAUGCAGGCCAUGCCGCGUGGAGGAAGACACCCCUAUGGGGCGUAAACUCCUUUUCUCAACAAACAAACCCAUGAAGGUUCUGGGCGCGACCGUAAUUCACGAAUAAGCACAAGCUAACUCUCUGCACCCAUCCUCUGUAAUACGAACGGUGCUAGCGUUGUCCGGAAUCACUGGUAGUAAAGCGUCUGCUGCCGGCGCAGCAGGUGCGAUCUGACACCUCAUGGGUUAUCCACGGAGUGACUUUCGACACUGUUGUCAUGAGUCCACGAGUGGCUGUCGGACUGCGCGGUGUAGCGGGCAAAUGCGUAGAUUCAUCGAGGACGACCAGAGGCGAAAGCGGGCAGCUUGACGUGUACUGACGAUCAGGCAGGACAGCGUGGUGAGCAACCAGGAUUAGAUACGCUGUUAGUUCACGCGGUAAUCGAUGAACGCUCGCAGUUGCCCCGCUCACGGGGAUGUGGGUAAGCUUAUGCGUUAAGCGUUCCACAUGGGGAGUACGAUACCAAGGUUGAAACUCAAAGGAAUUGACGGUGGCCCGCACAAGCGGUCGAGCACGCGGUUCAAUUCGAUGCAACGCGAAGAACGUUACCUCGGUUCGAACGAUAGAGGACCGCUCCUGAAAGGGAGCUUCCCCUUUGGCGCGUCUAGCGAGGUAGCCCAUGGCUGUCGUCAGUUUGUGUCGUGAGAUAAUGGGUUAAGUCCCGCAACGAGCGUAACCCUUCUUGCUAGUUACCAUCGUGUAGUGCAGGGGACUCUAGCGAAAUCGCCCGCGCAAGCAGUGAGGAAGGUGGGGAUGAGGUCAAGUCAUCAUGGUCGUUACACCUAGGGCUGCACACGUGUUACAAUGGCCGCUACAACGGGUAGCCACCUCGCGAGAGGGAGAGAAUCCCGGAAAACCGGUCCCAGUUCGGAUGGAGCUCCGCAACUCGACUCCAUGAAGCAGGAAUGGCCAGUAAUCGCGGAUCUAGCAACGCCCGCGGUGAAUCCGUUCCCGGGCGCUGUACACACCGCCAUUCAAGCCAUAGAAGCCGAUAGCACCCGAAGUCCGCGACUCAAGUCGGCCCAUGCGCCGGAGGGAGAGCGGCCGAAGGAGACUUCAGCGACGGGGGCG
rnacentral:rRNA from 1 species